rnacentral:rRNA from 1 species
CGUUUAGAAGGAAACUGAUGGAGCUGCAAUGCAGCCUGUCGAAUUCAGUCUGUCACUUGGCCUCUGGCUUUGAGACGGAUGCAUUUUCGGCAGGUGCGCGCCGCGACCGAUUCGACUACUGGCUAAGGCAGCCUGGUUGAGGACUCCGGCUUGCUGGAGAACCCCGCUAGGCAUGCUGGACCGGGUUGGUUGGAUUGGAUAUGUACCGUGCCCGCUGUCUUGGGUGGUAGGCCCAGUGCGCCGGUUGAACUUUUGGGUUUCUGCAUUCGCAGUGCCUGGAGACGCCCGGUGUUUUGCGGUUUGCUUGUCCCGAGUGGCACAGAAGGUCUGCGGCGUCCGUGUCAGCCACCCAUCUGACCCGUCUUGAAACACGGACCAAGGAGUCUAACAUGUGCGCAAGUGAUUGAGUGGCAAACUCAUACGCGCAAUGAAAGUAAAGGGCAGUUCGGCUGUCUGACGUGAGAUCCCGGUUACCCGCGGGUGCUGGGCGCAUCACGGUCCCGUCCCAUGGGUCACGUCCCAGGGGCGGAGACAGAGCGUACAUGUUGGGACCCGAAAGAUGGUGAACUAUGCCUGAGCAGGAUGAAGCCAGAGGAAACUCUGGUGGAGGUCCGAAGCGGUUCUGACGUGCAAAUCG